rnacentral:misc_RNA from 1 species
AAUUUUCAGGCAACGCGAUGAACUUAAGACACACAGAUUUUAGUUGGACACAGUGAUGCUGAUCUGCCAAGGCUAAAGUUGUAGCAACAGUGUUAAUUGUAACAUCCUCACAAAGUUUAGCCUCACAAAGUGCUCUCAAUCUCUCAAGACCAUACUGGUCAGCUGCCGCAAGCAGAUGCUGAGCCAUUAAAGCAACUGCCCAUUUUGUAUCGAGACCCACAAGCUCUUGUAAAUCAGGGAGAGAAUCCCAAUAGAUGAAGUGGAGCAACGCCUUGAAUACUGGAGCCUGUAUUUCUUCGACUCUAAUACUUUGUAUGUUCUCUUCCUUCAAUGGACCAAAGAGUUGUGCCCGAAGCACAGGGGAGCGGGCAGCAAGAACCAACUUGUGUGCAGCAAAGACUUCACCUUCAACUUCAAACUUUAUAUCAGCUCCCUCUCCACUCUCUAGGAGCUGCCCAAAAUGAAGCCCAAUGUCUGACGGUGGCACAGGCAGGGAGAAAGUCUUUGGUGUUUCAUUGUAUGAUCUGACAACACCAACAGUACAUUGGAUCAAGAGACAAUCAUCUUUCAGAUAGUCUGAUGUUUCUAGUAAUGUUCUCCUGAAAAAGCGUUUAUAGCCCCACAUGCUACCCCGGUAUUUGAGUGUGUAGGGACCCGUCUCCAGCACCCUACCAAAGUGGGUAUGAACCUUAUGCCUCUCGUUACCACUCUGAUCCAUAAGAGACAGCUCAAACAAAGCUCUAACAUCGGUAGCAUCACUAGCAAGGGCGAUGAAAAGAGAAACAUAGGUACCAUUAUCCUCUGAGCUUUUUCCAUCGGGAUAAAAGUAAACAGCCCAAGAAUGACCACCCACAGUAAAAAUCUCGGAAGUUACAUAUUUCCCAAUUCCCAUACCUUUAGAUAAGGCGUAACCAUCAACCUUAAAUUCAUGGGACCCAUUAAUCGUAUCGAUCCGAGAGGUCGAUGUGGUUGUUGUGGGUUGAGAAGAUGAUGAAUUUAGGGGUUUUGAAGGUUCCGAUGGAACCCUGAAGGUACCCAUAUGAUGAAAGAUUGGAUUUUUUUUGUAGAAUUGAAAGAAAAGAAGAUCCUUUAAGCUAAUGGGUCGG